GAUGAACGCUGGCGGCGUGCCUAAUACAUGCAAGUCGAGCGAACAGAUGAGGAGCUUGCUCCUCUGACGUUAGCGGCGGACGGGUGAGUAACACGUGUAUAACCUACCUAUAAGACUGGGAUAACUUCGGGAAACCGGAGCUAAUACCGGAUAAUAUAUUGAACCGCAUGGUUCAAUAGUGAAAGACGGUUUUGCUGUCACUUAUAGAUGGAUCCGCGCCGCAUUAGCUAGUUGGUAAGGUAACGGGUUACCAAGGCGACGAUGCGUAGCCGACCUGAGAGGGUGAUCGGCCACACUGGAACUGAGACACGGUCCAGACUCCUACGGGAGGCAGCAGUAGGGAAUCUUCCGCAAUGGGCGAAAGCCUGACGGAGCAACGCCGCGUGAGUGAUGAAGGUCUUCGGAUCGUAAAACUCUGUUAUUAGGGAAGAACAAAUGUGUAAGUAACUAUGCACGUCUUGACGGUACCUAAUCAGAAAGCCACGGCUAACUACGUG
rnacentral:rRNA from 1 species